rnacentral:rRNA from 1 species
UACGAAGGGGGCUAGCGUUGCUCGGAAUCACUGGGCGUAAAGGGUGCGUAGGCGGGUUUUUAAGUCAGGGGGGAAAUCCUGGAGCUCAACUCCAGAACUGCCUUUGAUACUGAAGAUCUUGAGUUCGGGAGAGGUGAGUGGAACUGCGAGUGUAGAGGUGAAAUUCGUAGAUAUUCGCAAGAACACCAGUGGCGAAGGCGGCUCACUGGCCCGAUACUGACGCUGAGGCACGAUAGCGUGGGGGGCAAACAGG